rnacentral:rRNA from 1 species
GAUGAACGCUGGCGGCGUGCCUAAUACAUGCAAGUCGAGCGAACGGACGAGAAGCUUGCUUCUCUGAUGUUAGCGGCGGACGGGUGAGUAACACGUGGAUAACCUACCUAUAAGACUGGGAUAACUUCGGGAAACCGGAGCUAAUACCGGAUAAUAUUUUGAACCGCAUGGUUCAAAAGUGAAAGACGGUCUUGCUGUCACUUAUAGAUGGAUCCGCGCUGCAUUAGCUAGUUGGUAAGGUAACGGCUUACCAAGGCAACGAUGCAUAGCCGACCUGAGAGGGUGAUCGGCCGCACUGGAACUGAGACACGGUCCAGACUCCUACGGGAGGCAGCAGUAGGGAAUCUUCCGCAAUGGGCGAAAGCCUGACGGAGCAACGCCGCGUGAGUGAUGAAGGUCUUCGGAUCGUAAAACUCUGUUAUUAGGGAAGAACAUAUGUGUAAGUAACUGUGCACAUCUUGACGGUACCUAAUCAGAAAGCCACGGCUAACUACGUGCCAGCAGCCGCGGUAAUACGUAGGUGGCAAGCGUUAUCCGGAAUUAUUGGGCGUAAAGCGCGCGUAGGCGGUUUUUUAAGUCUGAUGUGAAAGCCCACGGCUCAACCGUGGAGGGUCAUUGGAAACUGGAAAACUUGAGUGCAGAAGAGGAAAGUGGAAUUCCAUGUGUAGCGGUGAAAUGCGCAGAGAUAUGGAGGAACACCAGUGGCGAAGGCGACUUUCUGGUCUGUAACUGACGCUGAUGUGCGAAAGCGUGGGGAUCAAACAGGAUUAGAUACCCUGGUAGUCCACGCCGUAAACGAUGAGUGCUAAGUGUUAGGGGGUUUCCGCCCCUUAGUGCUGCAGCUAACGCAUUAAGCACUCCGCCUGGGGAGUACGACCGCAAGGUUGAAACUCAAAGGAAUUGACGGGGACCCGCACAAGCGGUGGAGCAUGUGGUUUAAUUCGAAGCAACGCGAAGAACCUUACCAAAUCUUGACAUCCUUUGACAACUCUAGAGAUAGAGCCUUCCCCUUCGGGGGACAAAGUGACAGGUGGUGCAUGGUUGUCGUCAGCUCGUGUCGUGAGAUGUUGGGUUAAGUCCCGCAACGAGCGCAACCCUUAAGCUUAGUUGCCAUCAUUAAGUUGGGCACUCUAAGUUGACUGCCGGUGACAAACCGGAGGAAGGUGGGGAUGACGUCAAAUCAUCAUGCCCCUUAUGAUUUGGGCUACACACGUGCUACAAUGGACAAUACAAAGGGCAGCGAAACCGCGAGGUCAAGCGAAUCCCAUAAAGUUGUUCUCAGUUCGGAUUGUAGUCUGCAACUCGACUACAUGAAGCUGGAAUCGCUAGUAAUCGUAGAUCAGCAUGCUACGGUGAAUACGUUCCCGGGUCU